rnacentral:rRNA from 1 species
AAGUCGUAACAAGGUUUCCGUAGGUGAACCUGCGGAAGGAUCAUUACAGAAUGAAAAGUGCUUAACUGCAUUUUUUCUUACACAUGUGUUUUUCUUUUUUUGAAAACUUUGCUUUGGUAGGCCUUCUAUAUGGGGCCUGCCAGAGAUUAAACUCAACCAAAUUUUAUUUAAUGUCAACCGAUUAUUUAAUAGUCAAAACUUUCAACAACGGAUCUCUUGGUUCUCGCAUCGAUGAAGAACGCAGCGAAAUGCGAUAAGUAAUAUGAAUUGCAGAUAUUCGUGAAUCAUCGAAUCUUUGAACGCACAUUGCGCCCUUUGGUAUUCCAAAGGGCAUGCCUGUUUGAGCGUCAUUUCUCCCUCAAACCCUCGGGCUUGGUGUUGAGCGAUACGCUGGGUUUGCUUGAAAGAAAGGCGGAGUAUAAACUAAUGGAUAGGUUUUUUCCACUCAUUGGUACAAACUCCAAAACUUCUUCCAAAUUCGGCCUCAAAUCAGGUAGGACUACCCGCUGAACUUAA